rnacentral:rRNA from 1 species
CCUACGGGAUGCACCAGUGGGGAAUAUUGCACAAUGGGCGCAAGCCUGAUGCAGCCAUGCCGCGUGUAUGAAGAAGGCCUUCGGGUUGUAAAGUACUUUCAGCGAGGAGGAAGGCGUUAAGGUUAAUAACCUUAGCGAUUGACGUUACUCGCAGAAGAAGCACCGGCUAACUCCGUGCCAGCAGCCGCGGUAAUACGGAGGGUGCGAGCGUUAAUCGGAAUUACUGGGCGUAAAGCGCACGCAGGCGGUCUGUCAAGUCGGAUGUGAAAUCCCCGGGCUCAACCUGGGAACUGCAUUCGAAACUGGCAGGCUAGAGUCUUGUAGAGGGGGGUAGAAUUCCAGGUGUAGCGGUGAAAUGCGUAGAGAUCUGGAGGAAUACCGGUGGCGAAGGCGGCUUACUGGUCUGCAACUGACGCUGAGGCGCGAAAGCGUGGGGAGCAAACAGGAUUAGAUACCCGUGUAGUC